UACGUAGGGUGCGAGCGUUUAAUCGGAAUUACUGGGCGUAAAGCGUGCGCAGGCGGUUUUGUAAGCCAGAUGUGAAAUCCCCGGGCUCAACCCGGGAACUGCGUCCGAUACUGGGAGGCUUGAAUCCGGGAGAGGGAUGUGGAAUUCCAGGUGUAGCGGUGAAAUGCGUAGAUAUCUGGAGGAACACCGGUGGCGAAGGCGGCAUCCUGGACCGGUAUUGACGCUGAGGCGCGAAAGCUAGGGGAGCAACGGGGAUU
rnacentral:rRNA from 1 species